rnacentral:rRNA from 1 species
UACGAAGGGGCUAGCGUUGCUCGGAAUUACUGGCGUAAAGCGCACGUAGGCGGUCUUUUAAGUCGGGGUGAAAUCCUGGAGCUCAACUCCAGAACUGCCUUCGAUACUGGAAGACUCGAGUCCGGGAGAGGUCGAGUGGAACUGCGAGUGUAGAGGUGAAAUUCGUAGAUAUUCGCAAGAACACCAGUGGCGAAGGCGGACUCACCUGGCC